rnacentral:rRNA from 1 species
GAUGAACGCUGGCGGCGUGCCUAAUACAUGCAAGUCGAGCGAACAGACGAGGAGCUUGCUCCUCUGACGUUAGCGGCGGACGGGUGAGUAACACGUGGAUAACCUACCUAUAAGACUGGGAUAACUUCGGGAAACCGGAGCUAAUACCGGAUAAUAUAUUGAACCGCAUGGUUCAAUAGUGAAAGACGGUUUUGCUGUCACUUAUAGAUGGAUCCGCGCCGCAUUAGCUAGUUGGUAAGGUAACGGCUUACCAAGGCAACGAUGCGUAGCCGACCUGAGAGGGGGAUCGGCCACGCGGGGACUGAGACCCGGUCCAGACCCCUACGGGAGGCAGCAGGAGGGAAUCUUCCGCAAUGGGCGAAAGCUUGGCGGGGCAACGCCGCGUGAGUGAAGAAGGUUUUCGGAUCGUAAAACUUUGUUUUUAGGGAAGAACAAAUGUGUAAGUAACUAUGCCCGUCUUGGCGGUACCUAAGCAGAAAGCCCCGGCUAACUCCGU